rnacentral:rRNA from 1 species
UAGGGAAUCUUCGGCAAUGGGGGCAACCCUGACCGAGCAACGCCGCGUGAGUGAAGAAGGUUUUCGGAUCGUAAAGCUCUGUUGUAAGUCAAGAACGGGUGUGAGAGUGGAAAGUUCACACUGUGACGGUAGCUUACCAGAAAGGGACGGCUAACUACGUGCCAGCAGCCGCGGUAAUACGUAGGUCCCGAGCGUUGUCCGGAUUU